rnacentral:misc_RNA from 1 species
GAUGAAGAACGUAGCGAAAUGCGAUAAGUAGUGUGAAUUGCAGAAUUCAGUGAAUCAUCGAAUCUUUGAACGCACAUUGCGCCCCUUGGUAUUACAUGGGGCAUGCCUGUUCGAGCGUCAUUUGUACCUUCAAGCCUUGCUUGGUGUUGGGUGUUUGUCUCGCCUCUGCGCGCAGACUCGCCUCAAAACAAUUGGCAGCCGGCGUAUUGAUUUCGGAGCGCAGUACAUCUCGCGCUUUGCACUCAGAACGACGACGUCCAAAAGUACAUUUUUACACUCUUGACCUCGGAUCAGGUAGGGAUACCCGCUGAACUUAAGCAUAUCAAUAAGCGGAGGA